AUUGAACGCUGGCGGCGUGCUUUACACAUGCAAGUCGGACGAGUGGCGAACGGGUGAGUAAUGCCUCGGAACGUACCGAGUAAAGGGGGAUAACUGCCCGAAACGACAGCUAAUACCGCAUAUUAUUCGAGCGGCCGAUGUGGGAUUAGCUGGUUGGCGGGGUAAAGGCCCACCAAGGCGACGAUCAGUAGCUGGUCUGAGAGGAUGAUCCGCCACACGGGGACUGAGACACGGCCCAGACUCCUACGGGAGGCAGCAGUGGGGAAUUUUGGACAAUGGGAGCAAGCCUGAUGCAGCCAUGCCGCGUGUCUGAAGAAGGCCUUCGGGUUGUAAAGGACUUUUGUCAGGGAAGCGGUACCUGAAGAAGAAGCACCGGCUAACUACGUGCCAGCAGCCGCGGUAAUUC
rnacentral:rRNA from 1 species